CGGAGCAUAGCGCAGUCUGGUAGCGCACCUGCUUUGGGAGCAGGGUGUCGGGGGUUCAAAUCCCUCUGCUCCGA
rfam:Gammaproteobacteria bacterium GWF2_41_13 gwf2_scaffold_2268, whole genome shotgun sequence.